GACGAACGCUGGCGGCGUGCUUAACACAUGCAAGUCGAACGGAAAGGCCUGCUUUCCCUUGUGGAUUGCGGGUACUCGAGUGGCGAACGGGUGAGUAACACGUGAGUGAUCUGCCCCCAACUUGGGUAUAAGCCUGGGAAACUGGGUCUAAUUCCCGAUAGGACUGCAGGGUGGUGCCUGUGGUGGAAAACGAUUUUCUAGUGGUUGGGGAUGAGCUCGCGGCCUAUCAGCUUGUUGGUGGGGUAAUGGCCUACCAAGGCGGCGACGGGUAGCCGGCCUGGGAGAGUGGGCGGCCACAUUGGGACUGAGAUACGGCCCAGACUCCUACGGGAGGCAGCAGUGGGGAAUAUUGCACAAUGGGCGGAAGCCUGAUGCAGCGACGCCGCGUGGGGGAUGACGGCCUUCGGGUUGUAAACUCCUUUCGACCGCGAGGAAGCCACCUGGUUGGAAGGGUGGUGACGGUAGUGGUAGAAGAAGCACCGGCUAACUACGUG
rnacentral:rRNA from 1 species